rnacentral:tRNA from 18 species
GUGGGAGUAGCUCAGUUUUGGUUAGAGCAACCGAUUGCAAAUCGGUAGGUCGUGGGUUCGAAUCCCAUUUCCCACU